GGUCAAGUGAAUAAGCGCAUACGGUGGAUGCCUAGGCAGUAAGAGGCGAUGAAGGACGUUGUAGCAUGCGAUAAGCCACGGGGAGUUUGCAAACUAACCCUGAUCCGUGGAUUUCCGAAUGGGGAAACCCACCUAUCAUAAGAUAGGUAUCUUGUCAUGAAUACAUAGUGACCUGAAGCGAACCUGGAGAACUGAAACAUCUAAGUACCCAGAGGAAAAGAAAUCAACCGAGAUUCCCUUAGUAGCGGCGAGCGAACGGGGAUUAGCCCUUAAGCUUAUACAUUGUUAGUGGAACAGUACUGGAAAGACUGGCGAUACAGGGUGAUAGCCCCGUACACGAAAACCUGUAUAAGUGAAAACGAGUAGGACGAGGCACGUGAAACCUUGUUCGAACAUGGGGGGACCAUCCUCCAAGGCUAAAUACUCCUUACUGACCGAUAG
rnacentral:rRNA from 1 species